AUGUUAGACUUGCAGAUCUUUCAAAUAAUCCUGGUGGGGAGUUUGGCUUCUGGGAUUCUGGUCAUGAAUGCAGUGUCCCCCUGUGGUGGUUUUUGGGGCAUGGGCUGUACCCAUGGCUGGGUUUUUCUCUCCAGAUAUCUGCACAACUUCAUCUUCCCUCUGCACCUGGCCGAGUUGCUUCAGCCUCUACAAGACACAUAUUUGAAGGAAGUUCUCUCAAUCCUGGUAAGGAAAGUGAGUGAAAGGACAUCUACAUCCUCCUCCUUCCCACUCCACCUGAGCCACCUACGCCUCUUCAGGGGGCCCCAAGGGACCUACCUUAAUCCAGAUCAAAUCUCCUCAAACUUCUUCCCUCACACCCGAGUUUCUUCCCCCCCAGGAGUCUCCUGGUGCAUGGAACUGACCAGAAACUGGGUAAUGUAUAUAAAUCUGGGUCAUCCCUGGCUUCCUGCUGGAUCCAAGGGCUGA
ensembl:lncRNA